rnacentral:rRNA from 1 species
UACGUAGGUGGCGAGCGUUGUCCGGAUUUACUGGGCGUAAAGAGCGCGCAGGCGGUCGUACAAGUCGCGUGUGAAAGCCCCCGGCUCAACUGGGGAGGGUCACGCGAUACUGUUCGACUCGAAGGCAGGAGAGGGAAGUGGAAUUCCCGGUGUAGUGGUGAAAUGCGUAGAUAUCGGGAGGAACACCAGUGGCGAAGGCGGCUCGCGUGGGCCACUUCCGUCACGCUGAGACGCGGAAAGCUAGGGGAGCCGAACACGG